UACGUAGGGUGCAAGCGUUGUCCGGAAUUAUUGGGCGUAAAGAGCUCGUAGGCGGUUUGUUGCGUCGGCUGUGAAAUCCCGAGGCUCAACCUCGGGUCUGCAGUCGAUACGAGCAAACUAGAGUGUUGCAGGGGAGACUGGAAUUCCUGGUGUAGCGGUGAAAUGCGCAGAUAUCAGGAGGAACACCGGUGGCGAAGGCGGGUCUCUGGGCAACAACUGACGCUGGAGGAGCG
rnacentral:rRNA from 1 species